GCCUUCUUCGGAGGCGUUGAAGUCGGAUCCCGUAAUCGGGCGCUUGGGACCGAUGGAGCCAGUAGCGCGACCGGCCGNAAGAUCC
ncrna:unclassified sequences c-di-GMP-II-GAG riboswitch